UCCCCAGUUUUGUAUAUCAGAUUUGCUGCUCUAAACUAAAAUAUUGUUGGUUCUGUGUUUAGCUGCCCUCCUAUAGGUUCUGAUGGACUUUUUCCAGCCACUUCUACUGAAUUCAGUAGUUUUGAAUUGUUCUGUAAACAGAUGAAGUCAAUAAUGCACUACAGGUUCCAACUGGAAGAAAGUAUAGUUAAUCAAGUUUUCAAGAACAGAAAGUAAUUUUAAUUGGUUGGUAAUAAAAAAAAGCUAAAGAUUUUAGGAAACUAUUACUAAAACUGCUUUAUUGUUCUAUCUUGUAUGUUGUGUUAUGUGUGUAUUCAUAUUGUAUGUCUACAUGGGAAAAUUUACUUUGAGCUCUGUCUUAAUUGGUUUAUCAAGGAAGGAUUGCUCAUAAAUUUAAUAGCUAAAAUUAAUUGAAGAUACAUUUGAUUCAUCUGACCUGAAUCUCUUUGUCAGAUGCUUUAAAUUUGUUGAUAGAAAGGAACUAAAAAAUGUUUUAUGUUUCUGUUUGUUGUUUAAACAAGCCACAUCAUGUUAGAUAUUUAAGAUAUAUUUAAAUACAUGUAUUCUUAAAAUUUAUAGAAGGCAUUGGACCUACAGUAAAUAUUUUAUAGGCUAUUAUUUAAUGGUUAAAACCACUUGUUAAUAUUCCGUUUGACAUUGUCAGUGGGCAUUCAGGCAAGCCUGACUUGCUCCCACAUUUCUCUAUUCUCUUUAAGAUGGGACACUGACUCUGUCCUGAGGGAUUCCUCAGGAUGUAGUUUGAUUUUUAGAUCUUAUGAAAGGAGUGACUAACAUGUUCUGUGUAACAGCAUAGCCAAAAUGAGAGCUUAAAUCAUAAUUUCAUGGCUGGACUUACUUCACCAUGGGAUCCCAAAUUCCCUUGGGCUAGAUGGUGAAAGUGGCAUCUUAAGUUUAAAAGUGACUGUAUUUGAUUGCAUUAAGUUUUAAGUUGGUCAUGUAGGAGGCACUAAUUGUUAAAGUGAUCAUAUCAAUAGAAUUAAUAUAAUUAAAGAGGAGUAAAUGCUUUAACAUGGGAAGCAGUCCAUACAGCACACUCAUAGAAUGGCAAUUGCUCUAAGUAAAGCUCAGUGACCUCAGAGUCAUCCCUAAAGGCAUUCUGAUCUGGCUAAAAAGCCCACAAGAGCAUUUCAGGCAUGGAAAGUCAGGACACUUGUGCGAAAAGGUGUGUACCUACAGGGAGAGUCUCCCUGGGUGAGACUCCUGUGGAAAGAAGUGGUCAUCAAAGAAGGAUGUACUCUCUUCAAAGGGAGAACUUUCACUUUGCUUACGUCCUUCUCUAAAUAUUGACUGAGUUUGUGGAUUCAGAAGGCUUCCAUAGCCUAGAGAGCUCAUGUCAAGAGCCUUGGGUGAUCACUGACAUCACACAAAAGAGUGUGAAUUGUUAAAUUAACCAUAGGAGUCACUGUGCACUAACUUCCCAUGCAGGACCUCAAGACUAUGCUUAAAAAAACAGAGGGGAGAGUAUGAUACCCCCACUAUUAGUGUAUUAACUUUGCUCCUUUCACCAUAAAGUUCUUAUAGGUCUCACCCCCUGGAGAGCCACCAGCAUUGAAACACUGGAGACCUCUCACAGAGAUCACUCUGCAGCCUGUGUGGAUAGCAGCCUGAAAUGCCAAACCCUGGACCCAGUCUCUGAAAGCUCACCCUCUGACAAGCCAACUUCAGCGCCUUUCCCUGAACAAGCCAUUCACAGAAAGAUCCUCUUCAGAUCAGCUACAGCUUAAAUGGAAGGGACCUUACCAGGUGCUACUGAACAUGACUACCUCAGUAAAAUUAGGAUUAAAUGUCUACCUCUCAAGUCCGAACAGGUGUACUCAAAAGACAUGCCUGAUUAUUCCUGUAAGCCAGAGAUCUUAAGCAAAAAGAAAAGUAAAGCCUUUGCUUUCCUCACAUCAAGAGUGCUGCACCUGAAGGCAGGCAUGGUGUACCUGCCUCUUUUGAUUCUCUGUUAUUAAUAAUAAAACUCCUAAUGUGUUCUUCUA